rnacentral:rRNA from 1 species
AGCGAACGCUGGCGGCGUGCCUAACACAUGCAAGUCGAACGUGAAAAGGGAAACCUGAGUAAAGUGGCGUACGGGUGAGUAACGCGUAGGUAAUCUACCCCAGAAUCUGGAAUAACCUGCCGAAAGGCGGGCUAAUACUGGAUAGAGCGAGGGAACUCGUAAGAGAGUUUUUCGGGAAAGGGAGCCCGCAAGGGCCUUCGUUCUGGGAUGAGCCUGCGUCUCAUUAGCUAGUUGGUAAGGUAACGGCUUACCAAGGCGAUGAUGAGUAGCUGGUCUGAGAGGAUGAUCAGCCACACUGGAACUGAAACACGGUCCAGACUCCUACGGGAGGCAGCAGUGGGGAAUCUUGCGCAAUGAACGAAAGUCUGACGCAGCCACGCCGCGUGAGUGAAGAAGGCCUUCGGGUUGUAAAGCUCUGUCGGAUGGGACGAACAUCUUCAUAGUGAAUAGCUAUGAGGACUGACGGUACCAUCAAAGGAAGCACCGGCUAACUCCGUG